CCUACGGGAGGCAGCAGUGAGGAAUAUUGGUCAAUGGACGGAAGUCUGAACCAGCCAUGCCGCGUGCAGGAAGACGGCUCUAUGAGUUGUAAACUGCUUUUGUACAAGGGUAAACCUGAAUACGUGUAUUCAGCUGAAAGUAAUGUACGAAUAAGGAUCGGCUAACUCCGUGCCAGCAGCCGCGGUAAUACGGAGGAUCCAAGCGUUAUCCGGAUUUAUUGGGUUUAAAGGGUGCGUAGGCGGAUUGAUAAGUUUGAGGUGAAAUGUCCGAGCUUAACUCGGGAACUGCCUCUAAUACUGUUGGUCUAGAGAGUAGAUGCGGUAGGCGGAAUGUAUGGUGUAGCGGUGAAAUGCUUAGAGAUCAUACAGAACACCGAUUGCGAAGGCAGCUUACCAAUCUAUAUCUGACGUUGAGGCACGAAAGCGUGGGGAGCAAACAGGAUUAGAUACCCUAGUAGUC
rnacentral:rRNA from 1 species